rnacentral:rRNA from 1 species
UACGGAGGGUGCGAGCGUUGUCCGGAAUCACUGGACGUAAAGAGCUCGUAGGCGGCUUGGCAAGUCGGGUGUGAAAACUCCAGGCUCAACCUGGAGACGCCACCCGAUACUGCCAUGGCUAGAGUCCGGUAGGGGACCACGGAAUUCCUGGUGUAGCGGUGAAAUGCGCAGAUAUCAGGAGGAACACCGGUGGCGAAGGCGGUGGUCUGGGCCGGAACUGACGCUGAGGAGCGAAGGCGUGGGGAGCGAACAGG